AAGUAGUGAAGUAAAAAUUUACAAUUAGAUUCGACCUAACUAUAGAGUUAUAUCUCCUUACUUU
rnacentral:tRNA from 1 species